GUCAUGGCUCCCCGAACCCUCCUCCUGCUGCUCUUGGGGGCCCUGGCCCUGACCGAGACCUGGGCCGCGACUCCGUGAGUCCGAGGAUGGAGCGGCGGGCGCCGUGGGUGGAGCAGGAGGGGCUGGAGUAUUGGGACCAGGAGACACGGAACGCCAAGGGCCACGCGCAGAUUUACCGAGUGAACCUGCGGACCCUGCUCCGCUAUUAC
rnacentral:lncRNA from 1 species